rnacentral:rRNA from 1 species
GAUGAACGCUAGCUACAGGCUUAACACAUGCAAGUCGCGGGGCAGCAUGGGGGUUGCUUGCAACCCCCGAUGCGACCGGCGCACGGGUGAGUAACGCGUAUCCAACCUGCCCUUCACCACGGGAUAACCCGGCGAAAGUCGGACUAAUACCGUAUGUUGUCCAUUGACGGCAUCCGAUUUGGACGAAAGGCUUGGCGGUGAGGGAUGGGGAUGCGUCCGAUUAGCCAGACGGCGGGGUAACGGCCCACCGUGGCGACGAUCGGUAGGGGUUCUGAGAGGAAGGUCCCCCACACUGGAACUGAGACACGGUCCAGACUCCUACGGGAGGCAGCAGUGAGGAAUAUUGGUCAAUGGGCGGAAGCCUGAACCAGCCAAGUAGCGUGCAGGAUGACGGCCCUAUGGGUUGUAAACUGCUUUUAUGCGGGGAUAAAGGAGCCCACGUGUGGGCUUUUGCAGGUACCGCAUGAAUAAGGACCGGCUA